rnacentral:tRNA from 1 species
UGGGGUAUAGUUCAGUAGUAGAGCACUUGACUAAUUCCCUCAAGACCCUGGGUUCCAUCCCCAGCACUGCAA